AUUGAGGUUUACUAAAAUUUUUGUUGUUGUUGGUCUCUGGUACCUGGAAUAAUCUUCCUAUCACGUCUUUGGUGAUAUAACUUCAGUCAUAAUCUUUUACUACUACAGAUAAUGAUGCACUUUGGCUAAGCGGCUUAAUAACAACCAUACUUUACAUUUCUGUGGCCUUUGCCUGUUCCAGUGUAGGAUUAUUAUUCUCCUUAUACCUUGGAGAAAACUGAAGCUCACAGGGCUGACCAGCUGUGAAGCACAGACUUACACUUGUCUGUCUGGGUUUAAAUCCUGGCUCGUCAAAUAUGUGACUGGGGGCAAGUUACUUCACUUAUUAGGCUUCAUUGUCUCCAUCAGGAAAGUGGGGGUAAUGACAGCACCUGCCUUACUGGUUGUUGUGACAACUUGAAUCAGUUAAUAUAUGUUAGAUACUUAGUGCCUGGCACGUAGUAAUACUACAUCUAGGUCAGCAGUUGGACCUAGAUUUUUAGGUUGCACCUGGUACCAGUUCCUUUCAUCACGGUUGUGCUUCACUUAUGUCUCAUCUCACCCCUUCCUAUGGUGGUGCUAGAAGAAUGGGAUACUAGACCAGAGGGAAAAGAAGCAUGUUCUUAUGAUGUAACUUCUACAGCUUCUUAAAUUGAAAACCAUCUAGGUGAUAACAAUGUCAGUGGCAACAAUUUAUUUAGUAAGGCAUCCAACGGGCCAGGCUCAGUACCACCUGCUUUACAUGCACCUUUCUACUCAAUCCUCAUAGCAGAUAUAUUUAUCCUCAUUUUACAAAUGGGGAAAUGGAGACAGCAAGAGAUUGUGCCUCUAAUCAGAGGACAGUGAUAGGUAUCAAAAGGAAGUUUCACAUCUGACUUAAUAAUGGUAUCCUUGGAAUGAAACAGGAAUGUGCUUAAUCACAUCAAGUGAUCUGAUACUCAGAGCUCAUGUUCAUCCAUUACCUAUGAUUUAUGUUCUGGAGCUCAUGUACUUAUUCAGAAGUAGUGGCAGGUAGCAUGGGGGUGAUGGAGGGAUCAGGAUUACAGGAUGUAGGUAAUGACAGUAGCAAGCAGGUUGUGGGAUGACAUGACAGCACAGGAGGAAGGAGGAGAAAUUUUAAAAGCAUACCUAAUAACUUAAAAACAUUCCACUCUCUGACAUUUCAGAGAAGGAAAGGUAGCCCUACACACCUCAAUAGUCCCUUAAAGCUUCAAUGUCUGCUUUUACUGAAGUCAUGAAUGUUCAUAACAGUGGCAGGAUUUCAUCCAGAAAAUGUGAGAUUCUGCUUUGUGUCUUCUUUCUAUUAUACUUUUUGGAAAGUGUUUACCCCCAAAUGGUAAAUAACCAUUUUGGUGUUAAAGGGGUAAGCUACAAUUAUUUGGAAUGUUUCCAUACUUAAAAAUUUUUUGUUUUUGUUUUUAAGUAGGCUUCAUGCCCAGCACAGAGCCCAGUAUGGGCCUUGGCCUUGAACUCACAACCGUGUGAUCAAGACCUGAACUAAGAGCAAGAGUCAGAUGCCUAACCAAGGUGCCCAAGAACCCCAACCACACUCUAUUUGAAAUCUACCCUUUGGAGCAGUAAGGAUGACUGAAUUCAGAAGUCUGGUGAGCCUGAGGGUUCAGCAUGACUAAUAAUUUGGAUCAAACAACAGCAUUUUAGAAGUAUCUUGAACAUUUUUUUUUUGUCUCAAUGACAUCAAUGGAUCAAUAGAUCAGCUCCUGUUCAGUGUUCUUCUUUGAAAAAUCAUCAAUGUCUUCUCAGCUCAUCAUUAUUAAGUACAUUUGCAAUUUGUUUGUGAAAUAUAACCCUGUGUUAUAGGCUUUUCCCUUCUUUGCCCAAUUGAGUUAUUUCAAUGUGAUUAUAGCCACUGAUCCCUUCCAGGCUGGGUAAUCAAGUUCUUUACCAUCACGGGCAAGUUGUGUUUUGUUGUGUUAGUAAGUGACUGAAGGCUGUUCACAGGGCAGGGUGGAAUCAGGGUUAGCUCAGUUUUCCUACUCCUUAAAUGUCAGUGCUUGCCAUCUUCAUUAAGUAUCAUGAGAAAAUAUCUUAAUACACACCAACAAUCAACAGAACCACUGGAUUCUAUUCCUGAAGUUGAUAGAGUUUGGACAAGUCACAAUCUCUGCAUUAUGACUUCAUCCCUUUUAAAGUAGAAUUCUAUCAUUGCAGUUCCCCUCCUGUCACUAGGGAUGCAGUAAAGAUAAAUGAGGUGAUCUAUGCUGAAUAUGUGGAAGUCCUUGAAAGAGGCUGUAUCAACUGGUGCACAAUAUGCAUGAAUGUGACCUCUGGGACAGAUUCAGUCAUCACAGAGUCAGCAUCUACUUUGGGUUCAUCAUCUGUUUCUUGUGCCACUUAUGGUAUCUUGUUAUCUCCCACACCAACCCUUUGAAGUAUGGAUUAUUACUAUCCAUUCAUGGAUGAAGAAAUUGAAGGUCAAAGGAUAUAAAUGACAAACUUAGCACACUACAGGAAUAUGUGGUGGAGACCGUCUAUAGGAACCAAGAUCUUUCACAAGUUUAUUUUCUACACAGGAGCCGCUUUCUAUCAAAUGUUCUGUAAGGAAGGUCACUGGGAUUAAGAGUGAGAGAAGGCUCCUGAAGCUAAAAGGAUGAUCCUCUACUAUGAUCCUCUACUACUCUCUGUUUUAUAGUCUUGUUUUUUUAAUAGAAUUGGAAAGAAAAGUAAAGCUUCUCUCUUUCUUAGGUAAAAAUGACCAGAAAUGUGCAAGGGAAGAAAUGGUUACAGCUUAGCUAGGUUGACGCAAUAAAAUGGCUAUAAUACUUUUAAAAUAAAAUAUUUAUACCCCAUCAA